CUUGGCUACAUCCGCC
rnacentral:tRNA from 1 species